UACGUAGGGUGCGAGCGUUGUCCGGAAUUACUGGGCGUAAAGAGCUCGUAGGUGGUUUGUCGCGUUGUUCGUGAAAACUCACAGCUUAACUGUGGGCGUGCGGGCGAUACGGGCAGACUGGAGUACUGCAGGGGAGACUGGAAUUCCUGGUGUAGCGGUGGAAUGCGCAGAUAUCAGGAGGAACACCGGUGGCGAAGGCGAGUCUCUGGGCAGUAACUGACGCUGAGGAGCGAAAGCGUGGGGAGCGAACAGG
rnacentral:rRNA from 1 species